GGUGCUGUGCCUGAAACAUAGGACCACUUUGAUAGAGUGAAACAUGGGGGUUAAAGUCCCCCCAGCUCCU
rnacentral:tRNA from 1 species